rnacentral:rRNA from 1 species
GGUCUAAGUUCCUCGGAACAGGACGUCAUAGAGAGUGAGAAUGCCCGAUCUGAUCGGAGCCGUAGCCCGUGUAAAGCUCUUUCGACGAGUCGAGUUGUUUGGGAAUGCAGCUCAAAAUGGGUGGUAAAUNUCAUCUAAAGCUAAAUAUUGGCCAGAGACCGAUAGCGCACAAGUAGAGUGAUCGAAAGAUGAAAAGCACUUUGGAAAGAGAGUUAAACAGUACGUGAAAUUGUUGAAAGGGAAGCGCUUGCAACCAGACUUGCGCGCGGUCGAUCAUCCGAGGUUCUCCCCGGUGCACUCGAUCGUUCUCAGCCCAGCAUCAGGUUUCCGGGGUGGAAUAAAGGCGGUGGGAAUGUGGCUCCUCCGGAAUGUGUAUAGACCCACACGUGUCAAUUCCGCCUGCUGGGGACCGAGGUUCGCGCUUCGGCUAGGAUGCUGGCGUAAUGGUCGUAA